rnacentral:rRNA from 1 species
UUAAGCGACUAAGCGUACACGGUGGAUGCCCUGGCAGUCAGAGGCGAUGAAGGGCGUGCUAAUCUGCGAUAAGCGCCGGUAAGGUGAUAUGAACCGUUAUAACCGGCGAUACCCGAAUGGGGAAACCCAGUGUGAUUCGUCACACUAUCAUUAACUGAAUCCAUAGGUUAAUGAGGCGAACCGGGGGAACUGAAACAUCUAAGUACCCCGAGGAAAAGAAAUCAACCGAGAUUCCCCCAGUAGCGGCGAGCGAACGGGGAGGAGCCCAGAGCCUGAAUCAGCAUGUGUGUUAGUGGAAGCGUCUGGAAAGGCGCGCGAUACAGGGUGACAGCCCCGUACACAAAAGCGCAUGUGCUGUGAGCUCGAUGAGUAGGGCGGGACACGUGGUAUCCUGUCUGAAUAUGGGGGGACCAUCCUCCAAGGCUAAAUACUCCUGACUGACCGAUAGUGAACCAGUACCGUGAGGGAAAGGCGAAAAGAACCCCGGCGAGGGGAGUGAAAAAGAACCUGAAACCGUGUACGUACAAGCAGUGGGAGCACAGGUUUACCUGUGUGACUGCGUACCUUUUGUAUAAUGGGUCAGCGACUUAUAUUCUGUAGCAAGGUUAACCGUAUAGGGGAGCCGUAGGGAAACCGAGUCUUAACCGGGCGUUAAGUUGCAGGGUAUAGACCCGAAACCCGGUGAUCUAGCCAUGGGCAGGUUGAAGGUUGGGUAACACUAACUGGAGGACCGAACCGACUAAUGUUGAAAAAUUAGCGGAUGACCUGUGGCUGGGGGUGAAAGGCCAAUCAAACCGGGAGAUAGCUGGUUCUCCCCGAAAGCUAUUUAGGUAGCGCCUCGUGAAUUCAUCUCCGGGGGUAGAGCACUGUUUCGGCUAGGGGGCCAUCCCGGCUUACCAACCCGAUGCAAACUGCGAAUACCGGAGAAUGUUAUCACGGGAGACACACGGCGGGUGCUAACGUCCGUCGUGAAGAGGGAAACAACCCAGACCGCCAGCUAAGGUCCCAAAGUCAUGGUUAAGUGGGAAACGAUGUGGGAAGGCCCAGACAGCCAGGAUGUUGGCUUAGAAGCAGCCAUCAUUUAAAGAAAGCGUAAUAGCUCACUGGUCGAGUCGGCCUGCGCGGAAGAUGUAACGGGGCUAAACCAUGCACCGAAGCUGCGGCAGCGACACUGUGUGUUGUUGGGUAGGGGAGCGUUCUGUAAGCCUGUGAAGGUGGCCUGUGAGGGUUGCUGGAGGUAUCAGAAGUGCGAAUGCUGACAUAAGUAACGAUAAAGCGGGUGAAAAGCCCGCUCGCCGGAAGACCAAGGGUUCCUGUCCAACGUUAAUCGGGGCAGGGUGAGUCGACCCCUAAGGCGAGGCCGAAAGGCGUAGUCGAUGGGAAACGGGUUAAUAUUCCCGUACUUGGUGUUACUGCGAAGGGGGGACGGAGAAGGCUAUGUUGGCCGGGCGACGGUUGUCCCGGUUUAAGCGUGUAGGUGUGUGUUCCAGGUAAAUCCGGUUCACUUUAACACUGAGGCGUGACGACGAGGCACUACGGUGCUGAAGCAACAAAUGCCCUGCUUCCAGGAAAAGCCUCUAAGCAUCAGGUAACAUCAAAUCGUACCCCAAACCGACACAGGUGGUCAGGUAGAGAAUACCAAGGCGCUUGAGAGAACUCGGGUGAAGGAACUAGGCAAAAUGGUGCCGUAACUUCGGGAGAAGGCACGCUGACACGUAGGUGAAGUGAUUUACUCAUGGAGCUGAAGUCAGUCGAAGAUACCAGCUGGCUGCAACUGUUUAUUAAAAACACAGCACUGUGCAAACACGAAAGUGGACGUAUACGGUGUGACGCCUGCCCGGUGCCGGAAGGUUAAUUGAUGGGGUCAGCGCAAGCGAAGCUCCUGAUCGAAGCCCCGGUAAACGGCGGCCGUAACUAUAACGGUCCUAAGGUAGCGAAAUUCCUUGUCGGGUAAGUUCCGACCUGCACGAAUGGCGUAAUGAUGGCCAGGCUGUCUCCACCCGAGACUCAGUGAAAUUGAACUCGCUGUGAAGAUGCAGUGUACCCGCGGCAAGACGGAAAGACCCCGUGAACCUUUACUAUAGCUUGACACUGAACAUUGAGCCUUGAUGUGUAGGAUAGGUGGGAGGCUUUGAAGUGUGGACGCCAGUCUGCAUGGAGCCGACCUUGAAAUACCACCCUUUAAUGUUUGAUGUUCUAACGUGGACCCGUAAUCCGGGUUGCGGACAGUGUCUGGUGGGUAGUUUGACUGGGGCGGUCUCCUCCUAAAGAGUAACGGAGGAGCACGAAGGUUGGCUAAUCCUGGUCGGACAUCAGGAGGUUAGUGCAAUGGCAUAAGCCAGCUUGACUGCGAGCGUGACGGCGCGAGCAGGUGCGAAAGCAGGUCAUAGUGAUCCGGUGGUUCUGAAUGGAAGGGCCAUCGCUCAACGGAUAAAAGGUACUCCGGGGAUAACAGGCUGAUACCGCCCAAGAGUUCAUAUCGACGGCGGUGUUUGGCACCUCGAUGUCGGCUCAUCACAUCCUGGGGCUGAAGUAGGUCCCAAGGGUAUGGCUGUUCGCCAUUUAAAGUGGUACGCGAGCUGGGUUUAGAACGUCGUGAGACAGUUCGGUCCCUAUCUGCCGUGGGCGCUGGAGAACUGAGGGGGGCUGCUCCUAGUACGAGAGGACCGGAGUGGACGCAUCACUGGUGUUCGGGUUGUCAUGCCAAUGGCACUGCCCGGUAGCUAAAUGCGGAAGAGAUAAGUGCUGAAAGCAUCUAAGCACGAAACUUGCCCCGAGAUGAGUUCUCCCUGAGACUUAGAGUCUCCUGAAGGAACGUUGAAGACGACGACGUUGAUAGGCCGGGUGUGUAAGCGCAGCGAUGCGUUGAGCUAACCGGUACUAAUGAACCGUGAGGCUUAACCUU